AACCUAGCACACCUGCGGUGUGUACCUGCGGAAGGAUCAUUACAUGAUUUAACAGGGAGUGGAGGCUUCGGCCAAAGCUCUGUCUGAACCCAUGUCUUUUGCGUACUUCUUGUUUCCUCGGUGGGCUUGCCCACCGAUAGGACAACCUUAAACUCUUUGCAAUUGCAAUCAGCGUCUGAAAAACUAUAAUAGUUACAACUUUUAACAACGGAUCU
rnacentral:misc_RNA from 1 species